GAUGGACGCUGGCGGCGUGCCUAAUACAUGCAAGUCGAGCGAACAGACGAGGAGCUUGCUCCUCUGACGUUAGCGGCGGACGGGUGAGUAACACGUGGAUAACCUACCUAUAAGACUGGGAUAUCUUCGGGAAACCGGAGCUAAUACCGGAUAAUAUAUUGAACCGCAUGGUUCAAUAGUGAAAGACGGUUUUGCUGUCACUUAUAGAUGGAUCCGCGCCGCAUUAGCUAGUUGGUAAGGUAACGGCUUACCAAGGCAACGAUGCGUAGCCGACCUGAGAGGGUGAUCGGCCACACUGGAACUGAGACACGGUCCAGACUCCUACGGGAGGCAGCAGUAGGGAAUCUUCCGCAAUGGGCGAAAGCCUGACGGAGCAACGCCGCGUGAGUGAUGAAGGUCUUCGGAUCGUAAAACUCUGUUAUUAGGGAAGAACAAAUGUGUAAGUAACUAUGCACGUCUUGACGGUACCUAAUCAGAAAGCCACGGCUAACUACGUG
rnacentral:rRNA from 1 species